rnacentral:rRNA from 1 species
AAAUGAAUUGACGGGGACCCGCACAAGCAGCGGAGCAUGUGGUUUAAUUCGAUGCAACGCGAAGAACCUUACCAGGGCUUGACAUCCCUCUGACAGGAUUAGAGAUAGUCUAUUUUCUUCGGAAACAGAGGAGACAGGUGGUGCAUGGUUGUCGUCAGCUCGUGUCGUGAGAUGUUGGGUUAAGUCCCGCAACGAGCGCAACCCUUGCCUUUAGUUGCCAGCAUUAAGUUGGGCACUCUAGAGGGACUGCCGGUGACAAACCGGAGGAAGGUGGGGAUGACGUCAAAUCAUCAUGCCCUUUAUGUCCUGGGCUACACACGUGCUACAAUGGUCGGUACAAAGGGUAGCAACUUAGCGAUAAGAAGCCAAUCCCAUAAAGCCGAUCCCAGUUCGGAUUGCAGGCUGCAACUCGCCUGCAUGAAGCUGGAGUUGCUAGUAAUCGUGGAUCAGAAUGCCACGGUGAAUGCGUUCCCGGGUCUUGCACACACCGCCCGU